CAUGCAAGUCGAACGGAAAGGCCCUUCGGGGUACUCGAGUGGCGAACGGGUGAGUAACACGUGGGUGAUCUGCCCUGCACUUUGGGAUAAGCCUGGGAAACUGGGUCUAAUACCGGAUAGGACUACGCGAUGCAUGUCGUGUGGUGGAAAGCUUUUGCGGUGUGGGAUGGGCCCGCGGCCUAUCAGCUUGUUGGUGAGGUUACGGCUCACCAAGGCGACGACGGGUAGCCGGCCUGAGAGGGUGACCGGCCACACUGGGACUGAGAUACGGCCCAGACUCCUACGGGAGGCAGCAGUGGGGAAUAUUGCACAAUGGGCGCAAGCCUGAUGCAGCGACGCCGCGUGAGGGAUGACGGCCUUCGGGUUGUAAACCUCUUUCAGCAGGGACGAAGCGCAAGUGACGGUACCUGUAGAAGAAGGACCGGCCAACUACGUGCCAGCAGCCGCGGUAAUACGUAGGGUCCGAGCGUUGUCCGGAAUUACUGGGCGUAAAGAGCUCGUAGGUGGUUUGUCGCGUUGUUCGUGAAAACUCACA
rnacentral:rRNA from 1 species